CCUACGGGAGGCAGCAGUAGGGAAUCUUCCACAAUGGACGAAAGUCUGAUGGAGCAAUGCCGCGUGAGCGAAGAAGGUUUUCGGAUCGUAAAGCUCUGUUGUAAGGGAAGAACAAGUACGGGAGUAACUGCCCGUGCCAUGACGGUACCUUAUUAGAAAGCCACGGCUAACUACGUGCCAGCAGCCGCGGUAAU
rnacentral:rRNA from 1 species